rnacentral:rRNA from 1 species
AUCAGUGUGUGUGUUAGUGGAAGCGUCUGGAAAGGCGUGCGAUACAGGGUGACAGCCCCGUACACAAAAAUGCACAUAUUGUGAGCUCGAUGAGUAGGGCGGGACACGUGGUAUCCUGUCUGAAUAUGGGGGGACCAUCCUCCAAGGCUAAAUACUCCUGACUGACCGAUAGUGAACCAGUACCGUGAGGGAAAGGCGAAAAGAACCCCGGCGAGGGGAGUGAAAAAGAACCUGAAACCGUGUACGUACAAGCAGUGGGAGCCUCUUAAUGGGGUGACUGCGUACCUUUUGUAUAAUGGGUCAGCGACUUAUAUUCUGUAGCAAGGUUAACCGAAUAGGGGAGCCGAAGGGAAACCGAGUCUUAACUGGGCGUUAAGUUGCAGGGUAUAGACCCGAAACCCGGUGAUCUAGCCAUGGGCAGGUUGAAGGUUGGGUAACACUAACUGGAGGACCGAACCGACUAAUGUUGAAAAAUUAGCGGAUGACUUGUGGCUGGGGGUGAAAGGCCAAUCAAACCGGGAGAUAGCUGGUUCUCCCCGAAAGCUAUUUAGGUAGCGCCUCGUGAAUUCAUCUCCGGGGGUAGAGCACUGUUUCGGCAAGGGGGUCAUCCCGACUUACCAACCCGAUGCAAACUGCGAAUACCGGAGAAUGUUAUCACGGGAGACACACGGCGGGUGCUAACGUCCGUCGUGAAGAGGGAAACAACCCAGACCGCCAGCUAAGGUCCCAAAGUCAUGGUUAAGUGGGAAACGAUGUGGGAAGGCCCAGACAGCCAGGAUGUUGGCUUAGAAGCAGCCAUCAUUUAAAGAAAGCGUAAUAGCUCACUGGUCGAGUCGGCCUGCGCGGAAGAUGUAACGGGGCUAAACCAUGCACCGAAGCUGCGGCAGCGACACUAUGUGUUGUUGGGUAGGGGAGCGUUCUGUAAGCCUGUGAAGGUGGCCUGUGAGGGUUGCUGGAGGUAUCAGAAGUGCGAAUGCUGACAUAAGUAACGAUAAAGCGGGUGAAAAGCCCGCUCGCCGGAAGACCAAGGGUUCCUGUCCAACGUUAAUCGGGGCAGGGUGAGUCGACCCCUAAGGCGAGGCCGAAAGGCGUAGUCGAUGGGAAACAGGUUAAUAUUCCUGUACUUGGUGUUACUGCGAAGGGGGGACGGAGAAGGCUAUGUUGGCCGGGCGACGGUUGUCCCGGUUUAAGCGUGUAGGCUGGUUUUCCAGGCAAAUCCGGAAAACCAAGGCUGAGGCGUGAUGA